rnacentral:rRNA from 1 species
AGAGUUUGAUCCUGGCUNNNNNNNNNNNNGNCNGCGUGCUUAACACAUGCAAGUCGUACGAGACNNNNGNNAGCUUGCUUUUGAAAGUCGAGUGGCAAACGGGUGAGUAACGCGUAGACAACCUGCCGUAAAGAUGGGGACUACAGUCCGAAAGGACUGCUAAUACCGAAUGUUGUGGAACUUCCGCAUGGGGGCUCCACUAAAGAUGGCCUCUACUUGUAAGCUAUCGCUCAAAGAUGGGUCUGCUUCUGAUUAGCUUGUUGGCGGGGUAACGGCCCACCAAGGCGACGAUCAGUANCCUGUCUGAGAAGGAUGAAGGGCCACAUUGGAACUGAGACACGGCCCAACUCCUACAGGAGGCAGCGGGGGGAAUCCUUCCGCAUGGGGCCCAGCCUGACGGAGCAUCCCCGCGUGUGUGAAGAAGGGUUUCUGUU